AUGAGAGCCCUAUUUUGGAAUGUGAGGGGUUUCGGCGCUCGGGGGCGCCGGGACCAACUCAAAGAUGUCGUUAGGGGCGAUAAUAUUGAUCUGGUCGGCCUUGUUGAGACCUUUAAGACUUCCUUCUCUCCCCACGAGCUUGCUGCAGUUGCGGGGGCUGAUAGAUUUGAUUGGGAUUUUCUCCCCUCCUCGGGCCACUCGGGAGGCAUCCUAAUCGGUUCUAAACGUGAAGUUUUUGAUUUUGUAGCCUUUGAUCAUGGGAUUUUUUGGCCCAGUAUUGUUUUGUAUCACCGCCAACUAAACGUGCUUUGGGAAGCCAUGGUUGUUUACGGCCCGGCCGAUCACUCCCUCUCCCCCCUAUUCCUGGACGAAAUCUCUAAUAAGGUGGAAUCCUGCACCCUCCCCCUCCUCGUUGGUGGUGAUUUUAAUUUGCUUCGCUACCCGACUGAUAAGAACACCAACAACUUUUCCUGGCCGCUAGCUGACGCUUUCAAUGACUUCAUCAGUACCUGCGCCCUUCGUGAGAUACCCAGGGUGGGAUCUAGGUUCACUUGGACUAACCAUCAGGUCUCCCCUAUUCGCUCUGUACUUGAUCGUGUCUUUGUGUGCCCGAACUGGGACUCCCUUUUUCCGUUAUCUAUUCUCAAGGCCAAGGCCAUUGUAGGCUCGGACCAUGCCCCGCUCAUUCUUGACACUGGGCUUCAAAGCUCCCCCACCCCUCCCCGAUUCCAGUUCGACGCCUCUUGGCUACUGAUCGAUGGUUUUUGUGACCUCCUCGCAUCUAAAAUUUCGGAAUCGCUAUCGACUGUUCGUCGCUCCUUUGGCCCAUUGGCAUCAUUGCUCCUAUUCCCUGUGCAAAUUCCUGCGUGGCUGGUCUCGUAA
rnacentral:rRNA from 1 species